GAGAGAUGUGACCCUUCCCCCAGCCGAGAUGGAGAACGAGCACUGCAGAGGUUAAAGGCAAAUGCUUCUCCUCAGAAAGCUGUCGACACACAGCAAAUGUCUCACAAGGGUGAAUACAUCUGGACUCCAUGGAAAAUACAGGAAUCCCAAUUUCUUUAACUGUAGUACCACCAUGCGUCUAGCCCCAACUGCAACCCCUGUUAGGG
rnacentral:lncRNA from 1 species